GUCUUCCUUGUCGUGGGGAGCAUAAUAUCCAAUGAGCGUUUAGUGAGGAUAUUUAUGCUGACACCAUUACAAAUAUAUAUUCCCCGUGCGGCGAUUGCUGCCACACCGUGUGUGUGUGGCAGGCAACGGCGUUCGGAAUUUUUGGAAAA